AUUGAACGCUGGCGGCAGGCCUAACACAUGCAAGUCGAGCGGAUGAGUGGAGCGUGCUCCAUGAUUCAGCGGCGAGCGGGUGAGUAAUGCCUAGGAAUCUGCCUGGUAGUGGGGGACCACGUCUCGAAAUGAACGCUAAUACCGCAUACGUCCUACGGGAGAAAGUCGUGGAUCUUCGGACCUCACGCUAUCAGAUGAGCCUAGGUCGGAUUAGCUAGUUGGUGAGGUAAGGGCUCACCAAGGCGACGAUCCGUAACUGGUCUGAGAGGAUGAUCAGUCACACUGGAACUGAGACACGGUCCAGACUCCUACGGGAGGCAGCAGUGGGGAAUAUUGGACAAUGGGCGAAAGCCUGAUCCAGCCAUGCCGCGUGUGUGAAGAAGGUCUUCGGAUUGUAAAGCACUUUAAGUUGGGAGGAAGGGCAGUAAGUUAAUACCUUGCUGUUUUGACGUUACCAACAGAAUAAGCACCGGCUAACUUCGUGCCAGCAGCCGCGGUAACAC
rnacentral:rRNA from 1 species